CAUUCCCGACCCCGGAUCCGCGGGGAGAGCCCGGGGGGCUCGGCUGGAGAAGAGGGAAGGCGGAUCCGCGCUGGCUGCGGAGAGGGAGGCUCCGUGCCUUUGGCAGCCGGGCUCGGCCUGGAGGUGCUGAGCUGAGGCAGCGCCGGGGAAUCGCUGUCUGUCCGUCCGUCCGUGCGUCCUGCUGCUGCACAAAGCUUCGCACUGGGGUGUGCUUACCUUCCCCGCCUGUGCUGGAGAAGGACGUUUGUCUGUCUGUCUGUCUGUCUGUGCACUGAGCUGCCUUGGCCCAGGCUGGGCUGUGGGACUGGGGACAAUCCCCCACAGCCAGGUGUUUGGGGACAAUCCCCACGGCUGGGUGUUUGGGGACAAUUCCCCCAUGGCCGGGUGUUUGGGGACAAUUCCCCCACGGCUGGGUGUCUGGGGACAAUCCCCACAGCCAGGUGUCUGGGGACAAUCCCCACGGCUGGGUGUCUGGGGACAAUCCCCAUGGCUGGGUGUUUGGGGACAUUCCCCAUGGCUGGGUGUUUGGGGACAAUCCCCAUGGCCAGGUGUUUGGGGACAUUCCCCACAGCCAGGUGUUUGGGGACAAUCCCCAGGACCAGGUGUCCAUCUCAGUGUCCCCAAGUGUGGGGACAGCCCAGUGGCUCUGCGGGUGCUCUGCUGCUUCUUGGCUUUCAUGGACAAUAAAGACACGAGGCCCCGAGCUCUGCCAGGCCGUGCA